rnacentral:lncRNA from 1 species
GUUCAGAUGGAUUUUAUUUUGAAGCAGUAAAGUACAAUAUCGUUAUUAAAUAUUAAAAAGAAUAAAAAAUCUAAAUAAUAUUCUUCAUAUAUUGAGAUGCAUAUAGACGAAAUAUUUUAUAUGUGUUCGUAAUAAAGCCUGCUUUAAUUUGUGUGUUCAAUACGAUUCCUUUACAAAUUUAUAAACCCAUUACCAUUAUAAUUCUGACUAGCAUUAAUUUGUAGGAAUUUGUAUUAUUACAAUUUAAUUUAUAAGCAUGUAGCCAGUGUUGAACAAUUUUGUCUGAUAACACAUUAUACAGGUGUACUAAAAGAACUUUAACCCAUUCGAGCAGCACUAUAUUGCAGAAAACAAAACAGAAACAAAAAUUGUAUUCUUAAUAAACAACAAAACAUAUAUUCACUUUCAUUUUAAAAUUAUUUGAAGAAAAAAGUGUUCUAUGUUUUGAAAAAAAAGUAUUUUCUUCCUUUAUUGUGUAUGUUAAAUCAGUGGUCGUCUUUGUAGAUGACCCAAUUUGUCCUGUAAAUGCAUUUAACGAGUUUAUGAAAAGAAGGCCUGUUGAUACAUUGACACCAGAAAGUAUGAUGUAUAUGUCAACACUCCACAAUACUACCACUGACAGCACUCAACCACCUACGAGAUCAUUGUGGGUCAGUAACAACCACAAGGAAAAACAAGGUUGGUGACUUGGCGAAAACUUAAAGAUGGUCUCACAGGCCGAAUAGUUAAACACAGUUACUUCAUAAUCACAUUCUAAAGUUGAAGCCACCUAGAUAAAGCAGUAAUGUUUAAUCGAUAAAAAAUAUAGCUAUGCUUCUCUUGAACAGCAAGAAAAAAAAUUCAAACAUUUUGAGUAACAUCUAUUCUGAUAACCGAUGAUCUAUAACAACUAAACAUUAAAAUGGUUCUAAUCAGCGAGGUACAUCCACUCAAAAAAAAAAAUUAACAAUUUACAUACAUGUAUGAUGAUUUACCAAAUGUAAUGUUGAUGUAAUGGUUGCCUGUAUUGAAAGUUUUGUGGAUAAAUCUGCUAUAAUGGCAACUAGUAACCCUGUACAACUGAUUGCUAUCAAUUAAGCCAUAGAUAUGCCAAAUUCUCGUGUUUGUGUUUUACCAUAUUAAAAACAAAUGGAAAUGUUUUUGAAAUAAAUGGUAAAAAUCAAAUUUGAAACUGUUAUAAAACUUUUGUGAUAUAGUUUUGAGAUCUUUCCGUU